ACCUCGCUAUUUGGGGAGUAGCCAGCCGCGCCGUCGCGCGGGCUCCUGCGUCAACAUGCUUGGCCGAGAGGCCAUGGCGCGGGAGGGACGGGUCACCGUUCGGGCGAGACCAAUGGCGUCGCAUCUCCGCUCUUGCCGGGCGGGGAGGUGCGAUGUCGUUGGAUUUCGUCUCCGUCCGGCCC
rnacentral:sRNA from 2 species